rnacentral:rRNA from 1 species
GACGAACGCUGGCGGCGUGCCUAAUACAUGCAAGUUGAGCGAUGAAGAUUGGUGCUUGCACCAAUUUGAAGAGCAGCGCACGGGUGAGUAACGCGUGGGGAAUCUGCCUUUGAGCGGGGGACAACAUUUGGAAACGAAUGCUAAUACCGCAUAACAACUUUAAACAUAAGUUUUAAGUUUGAAAGAUGCAAUUGCAUCACUCAAAGAUGAUCCCGCGUUGUAUUAGCUAGUUGGUGAGGUAAAGGCUCACCAAGGCGAUGAUACAUAGCCGACCUGAGAGGGUGAUCGGCCACAUUGGGACGGAGACACGGCCCAAACGCCUACGGGAGGCAGCAGUAGGGAAUCUUCGGCAAUGGACGAAAGUCUGACCGAGCAACGCCGCGGGAGUGAAGAAGGUUUUCGGAUCGUAAAACUCUGUUGGUAGAGAAGAACGUUGGUGAGAGUGGAAAGCUCAUCAAGUGACGGUAACUACCCAGAAAGGGACGGCUAACUACGUG